UACGGAGGUGGCAAGCGUUGCUCGGAAUUACUGGGCGUAAAGCGCGUGUAGGCGGUUGCCAAAUCGGGUGUGAAAGCCUUGAGCUCAACUCAAGAAUUGCACUCGAUACUUGGUGACUAGAGGACCGGAGAGGAUAGUGGAAUUCCAGUGUAGUGGUGAAAUACGUAGAGAUUGGGAAGAACACCAGUGGCGAAGGCGGCUAUCUGGACGGUUUCUGACGCUAAGACGCGAAAGCGUGGGGAGCAAACAGG
rnacentral:rRNA from 1 species